UUUUAUUUUUUUAUUUUCUUCUUUAACAGAGUGCCUCGACCCCUCAAGGCACUCAGCACACAUGCAGAGCAUCGGAAGCCUGUCCGAUGUCUUCCGAUGCUCUGGUUAACAGCUGGGCACCAGGUGGAGCAUCCCGGAAGUGAUCGCGCCUGGCAGUAAGGAGAGGUGUUACACAAUGGAGGCAUCGCUGCAAUACCAUCAAUAAACUGCAAUCUUUAGGUUUGGAUUCCAGUAUUGUUGAAUGGGUAGCUGAGUGACAGGCAACAGAGGAUUGUAGUCAAUGGAGUAUUUUCUAAGCUUGGGUUUGUCAACAGUGGGGUACCUCAGGGAUCUG